CCUACGGGUGGCAGCAGUGAGGAAUAUUGGUCAAUGGACGAGAGUCUGAACCAGCCAAGUAGCGUGAAUGAUGACUGCCCUAUGGGUUGUAAACUUCUUUUAUAUGGGAGUAAAAUGUUCCACGUGUGGGAUUUUGUAUGUACCAUAUGAAUACGGAUCGGCUAACUCCGUGCCAGCAGCCGCGGUAAUCCGGAGGUUCCGAGCGUUAUCCGGGUUUAGUGGGUUUAAAGGGAGCGUAGGUGGAUUGUGAAGUCUGUUGGGAAAGUUUGCGGCUAAACCGUAAAAUUGCAGUUGAAACUGGCAGUCUUGAGUACAGUAGAGGUGGGCGGAAUUCGUGGUGUAGCGGUGAAAUGCUUAGAUAUCACGAAGAACUCCGAUUGCGAAGGGAGCUCACUGGACUGCAACUGACACUGAGGCUCGAAAGUGUUGGUAUCAAACAGGAUUAGAUACCCCAGAUAGUC
rnacentral:rRNA from 1 species